rnacentral:ncRNA from 2 species
CGCAUCCGCUAGGGGUGUUGCCGCGGUGCCAACCGCGUCGACUGAGAAAGUCCCUUUGAACCUGAUUGAGGUAAUGCUCACGCAGGGAAGCAGGCCAGAGACCAG